GGGGCCGACCGGAAUUGACAGGAUGGAGAUGAAUAUGUAAGCAUGCAGCGCGUUGUGAGACGAGCGCUAUAAUCUGAACUCUCAAACCACAGUUGGCGAAAAUAACUACGCCUUAGCUGCUUAAUUUAGAAUUAAGUAAGCUUUUGUCCCGCUAGGUUCCGUUCUGUUACUUAGCAUCAGGGGCAUCGAACAACAGAACUGGCCAGGGUUUAAUGGUGUGAAAGCCCGGCGAGAAGAAACACCUACGGAAGACGGUACAGGUGAACUUCUGACCUUCCCCUUCCCGACAAUGAAACAGCAGUUAAGCAUGUAGAAAGCAUAAUUUAUACCAUGUUUGGACGAGGGUUCGAAUCCCUCCGGCUCCACAA
rnacentral:tmRNA from 1 species